ensembl:lncRNA LINC02405 long intergenic non-protein coding RNA 2405
GAUAGCAUUGCUCUCAUGGGUGCUGUUCACCAAACACAGGGACUCUUCACCUCAUGGGCUAAGGAUUGCUGGUGCUGGCUGGAACUGAGACUACCAUACACCUAAGAAGUCAAAGUUGCUAUUCAAGGGGAAGUGCAAACACAAGAUGAGGGAAACUGAUGUAUUUAGUGUCUACAUUUUACAAAUGGAUGCUUUUCAUAAUAUGAAAAUACUGCACCAUAAGAUUGCCAGUCACAACAGCACGGCUACAGUGAAAAUGAUCCCAGUGGAUUUGUUACGGUGAGAAAGCUUCACUUGGAGACAAAGCCAAAACCUUCCUCCCAGGCUCCCUUGGAUGUAGGGGGAAGCAAACUGGCUGUCCAGGCCUCUGAGCCACAUCUACACACCUCAUGAGAGGGCCUGUGCAACAUUGCCUUAGAGAUGGAGAGCAUUGCUUCAGAAUCAGGGAAGCCUAAAUUUCACCCCUGGGGCUGCCCCUUGUGAUCUUGAAUGGCUCCUGACAAGAGGCUGCUGGGGAGGCUCCUGCUCCCUGCCUUUCGGGACUGCCGUGGAUUGCCCAUUGAUGGGUCAAAAUCCAGCUACCUGGUAAUUCAAUGAGUCCCUAGUGUGCAUCCAAUAAAUUAUCUUCUGUUUAAAUUAGAACAAA